CUAAUGCCGGAUAUUGUGUCCUACUGCAUAGUAGGUUAACGAAAGAUUUAUCGUUGUGGGAUGAGCUUGCGUCCGAUUAGCUAGUUGGCGGGGUAAUAGCCCACCAAGGCGACGAUCGGUAGCCGGCCUGAGAGGGUGAUCGGCCACAUUGGGACUGAGAUACGGCCCAGACUCCUACGGGAGGCAGCAGUAGGGAAUAUUGCGCAAUGGGGGGAACCCUGACGCAGCAACGCCACGUGUGGGAAGAAGCAUUUCGGUGUGUAAACCACUGUCGGAAAGGAAUAACGGAAGACUUCGGUCUUUAUGAAUGUACUUUUAGAGGAAGCACCGGCAAACUUCGUGCCAGCAGCCGCGGUAAUACGAGGGGUGCAAGCGUUGUUCGGAAUCACUGGGCGUAAAGGGAGCGUAGGCGGAAGUGCAAGCAAUCUGUAUAAUCCUGGGGCCCAACCCCAGUCCUGCAGAUUUGGACUGUAUUUCUUGAAUAGCUUCANAGGNAAGCGGAAUUUCUGGUGUAGCUNNGGAAUGCGUAGAGAU
rnacentral:rRNA from 1 species